UACAGAGGGGGCGAGCGUUGUUCGGAAUUACUGGGCGUAAAGGGCGCGUAGGCGGCCAACUAAGUCAGACGUGAAAUCCCUCGGCUUAACCGGGGAACUGCGUCCGAUACUGGUUGGCUUGAGUUUGGGAGAGGGAUGCGGAAUUCCAGGUGUAGCGGUGAAAUGCGUAGAUAUCUGGAGGAACACCGGUGGCGAAGGCGGGUCUCUGGGCAACAACUGACGCUGAGGAGCGAAAGCCAGGGGAGCAAACAGG
rnacentral:rRNA from 1 species